CCUACGGGAGGCAGCAGUGAGGAAUAUUGGUCAAUGGACGAGAGUCUGAACCAGCCAAGUAGCGUGAAGGAUGACUGCCCUAUGGGUUGUAAACUUCUUUUAUAUGGGAAUAAAACGUUCCACGUGUGGGAUUUUGUAUGUACCAUAUGAAUAAGGAUCGGCUAACUCCGUGCCAGCAGCCGCGGUAAUACGGAGGAUCCGAGCGUUAUCCGGAUUUAUUGGGUUUAAAGGGAGCGUAGGUGGAUUGUUAAGUCAGUUGUGAAAGUUUGCGGCUCAACCGUAAUAUUGCAGUUGAAACUGGCAGUCUUGAGUACAGUAGAGGUGGGCGGAAGUCGUGGUGUAGCGGUGAAAUGCUUAGAUAUCACGAAGAACUCCGAUUGCGAAGGCAGUUCACUGGACUGCAACUGACACUGAGGCUCGAAAGUGUGGGUAUCAAACAGGAUUAGAUACCCUUGUAGUC
rnacentral:rRNA from 1 species